UGCUGGUAGCUUCGCAAUUGUACUCUAUGAACCCCGCCAGGACCGGAAGGUAGCAACGGUAGU
rnacentral:SRP_RNA from 1 species